rnacentral:rRNA from 1 species
AGUGAACGCUGGCGGUAGGCCUAACACAUGCAAGUCGAACGGCAGCACAGUAAGUGCUUGCUCUUACGGGUGGCGAGUGGCGGACGGGUGAGGAAUACAUCGGAAUCUACUUUUUCGUGGGGGAUAACGUAGGGAAACUUACGCUAAUACCGCAUACGACCUACGGGUGAAAGCCGGGGAUCUUCGGACCUUGCGCGAUUGAAUGAGCCGAUGUCGGAUUAGCUAGUUGGCGGGUUAAAGGCCAACCAAGGCGACGAUCCGUAGCUGGUCUGAGGGAAUGAUCAGCCACAUUGUAACUGAGACACUGCCGAGACACCUACGGGAGGCAGCGGUGUGGAAUAUUGUGCAAGGGACGCAAGCCUGAUCCUGCCAUAUGGCGUGGGUGAAGAAGGCCUUCGGGUUGUAAAGCCCUUUUGUUGGGAGAGAAGAGCAGCAGUUUAAUACCCCGCUGUUCUGACGGUACCCAAAGAAUAAGCACCGGCUAACUUCGUG